AUCACAAACAGUCAUUGCAGGGUGAGUGUGUGUUAGCUGUGUUACCUGUUCUGUUAAAGGAGAUCCACUCGGGUCGACAGCACUCUCUGAAGUAGUAGAAGAUGUUCUGGUAGCUGGCGAGGAACCCGGUCAGAGCUGCAGCCAUGCCCACAGCUAUACUGGUGCUGAUGGGCUCGAUAGCCUCCGUCAUACCGGAGCAGAUCAGCAUCCACAGCAGCAGGACGUGGCUCUUCCUCGGCUUCAUCUCGCACUGAUGUGGGGUGAUAACCAACCUUAGUUAAAAUGAAGGUAAACAAAAGAAGAACCUCGUGCCUGUUGGGGGUUUUAAACUAUCAGCUAAAGUGGACCGAGUCAACAGACUGGAGCGACAACUAGCGGUUGUGAAGGAAGAACGUACUGCGUGGUUGCCAAGCUCACAUGGAGGCGUGAUGACGUCAGAGUCCAAAGGUGAAAUUCAGGAAAUGAACCCCGAAGUCGUCCAGGGAGGGAGAGGGAAAGGAAAAGACAGCAAGGGGGCCGUGACUUCUGAUGAAGCCCAGACUCCCUCGUGGACGCAGAUAACUGCAAGAGAACUGGAGCGAUUGCUGCUUCGUUCAGUGGCUACAGAAUUGACGAGGGCACUUGUGGAGGAGUUGGACCUUUGAAGAGGAAACAAAGGGAACAGGUCGGCCUCUGAUCUCAGUAUAAACAGAGGGCAAUACCCCCAAACACAGACCCCCCGGCCCUACUACACUCUCUGCACCUCGAGCAACUCUUGCCUUUACCCCCACUCUGUGUUAUCCAGGCUGGGUGGCCACUUAAAGAAUCAGACCCGGGGACCAAAGCACAUUCCUGUGAAGUCAAGAGAAAGAGGAGCUGCAGGGAGAACAUUAGAGAUUUGAUAAAGAGAAUAUACUGUUUACAUAUAGACACAUACAUUAAGCAAAGAAUUGUUGUUUUAUAUUAUGUAUAUGUGCUCACCAUGAACACCAGGGGGGGCUCACUCCUUUGGACAGCCAACUGAAUUCUCCUAACAGUGCAAAAUUGAUGCUUUUUGGGAAGUGCAGAGUACACAAGUAACUGAAUUACAGUAACUGUAAAAGCUUUCACCACUGUGGUAAUGGAAGGGAAACAAUAACUGCAAAUGAUGCCAAAUCAUGUUGAAAAGGUCACUUUGAAAAAAGUUUAUGACCCAAUUUUUCUGAUAAAACGAGCUUGUGGUCAAAAAUGUAUUUUUCUGUCAGCGACCCUCCCCUCAGAUUUCUGUCUCAAUGUUAUGUUUGCCUCUCUGAGAUUAUGCUGCAUCAACAGCAUUCUGUGAUUCCCUUUAAUGCAACAGCUGAAUAGUAAAUAAACUGAAUAUUGCACAGAAAAAAUAGUGUGCAUCUUGUGGUGUUACCAGUAAAAGUAUAGGGCUUAAAACCUGGGAUCUUGUGAUUUGUAUACAUUGCAGAGAAGGUUACUUUCUUUUUUAUCUUUCUUGCACUUUAAAGCUUUUCAAAGACAAACCUCUGUAUAAAAAAAUGAUUGCUGCAGAAAGUUACUUGGUAUACUUGCUCAAGUCCUGUGUAUAGUACUGUACUGCUACAAAACUAAAGGGUUUUUGCAGAGCGGACCCCCUUCUGGCACCCCCUGCCAAAGAAGCUGAAACUUGAGGAAUCUAGAUGUCAUGUGUGUUCAUGUCUUGUCUGUUAUUUUUAUUAUCUUGAAUAAUUUAUUGGCAGUGGUACUCCAUGGCGACCUGUUCAGGGUUUACCCUA